AUACGUCAUGCGCCAGACAAGCCGCAGGAGUGAGCGAGGCCGGCUGCGCAUGUGAAGCUCGCGUGCUCGGCGACCCGUCUCUUUUGGAUGUAGCCCGUUUUUUGGGCUCCCGGCGUUCUCUUGUGUUCCGUCUGCAUUUCGACACGGCACCGCUGCACUACUGGACUACAGCAAGCUGAUGGCAUCCGGUGGAGCUUCGUACGGCAACGAGUGCUGUUUACCUGGUGCCCCAACUUUGGAUGAAUGCUGAAGAAGCCCGGAACGAGUAUUUAUAUACAGCAAAACAAACAUUUCAGCAUUUCAGAAGAUGUCUUGCUUUUUCUUUAUGAAAUUGCACCUGACGGAUUCGGCGGAGUCUUGUAAAGGUCGUUCGCAAUCACUUUUACUAAAUAAUGAAACGAUUCCACGCCAAGGCCACGCGGAGUUCAGCAGAAGCGAAAAAAAAAAAAAAAAACGCCGCGCAGGACAGCGGAGCCAGUGCGGCGCGUACCAACUGGUGUUCAAAACGCGCGCGCCCAAAACCGGAAGGAGUUAAUACCAUCCGCUUGGUGUGCUACAGUCAAUUCGGCCGCUGGGCUCUGUGGGAAUGUCCGCUCCUGUUGAAAUUUCUUUCUGUAUGGACAAACCGCCGAAGCGAGAGAGACCGGCCGCGCAUCUGAGCGUUGGACUAUUCGGGCACCCGUCUGCCUGUUUUUCUAUUUUGGGAUUUAGCCUGGUUUGGUGGCCUCCCGGCGAAUUCUUGCGUUCCUUCGGAACUUCGACAUGGCGCCACUGCACUAUUGGACUACGGCAAGCUCACGUCGUCUGGUGGAGCUUCCUGCGGAAACUACUGCUGCUUACCUGGUACCACAACGUUGGACGAAUGCACAAAAAGCCCGCGACGAGCAUUUAUAAAGAAUAAAACAAACAUUUCAUCAUUUCACAAGGUGUCUUGCGUCUUUAUGAAAUUGCACGUGGCACAUUAUCACUGGAGGCUUGUGAAGAUCGUUCGGAAUCAAUUUUGCUUAAUAAUAAAAAGAUUUCGCGUGAUGACCGCGCGCGAUUGAGCUGUAAAAGCAAAAAAGAAAAGAAAGGAAAAACCAACGGAGCCGGCGUGACGCGCACCAGCUAGUAUUCAAAACGCGCGCGCACAGAACCGGAAGUGUGCUUCAGGUAUUAACGCCGACGGCUUGGUGCGCUGCAGUCAAUUCGGCCGAUGGGCUCUACGGGAGUGUCCGCUGUUGCAUUCCUUUCUCUAUGCUCGCAGUCAAUGGCGGCCGUCUCCUCGCCGCGCAACGUUCCUACGCGCUGCGUCCCGCGACCUCCCGAUAAGCGAGUGGCGCCAAGCUGCGCUCCGUUUGCGGCGGCUGGUGCGAUAUGUUCCGCACAAGACGCAUUGUCCGAAGCUGACAGACGGUUUAUAUUUUAAUAUAAACCCUCUGUGGCGUCCAAAGGUGCGAGAAAAACACAAGGCAAAAUACAACAGCUGUACGAUGCUCCGCUGCGAAUUUAACCACCGUUAUGAGUAAAUCUGGUUAUAUAACAUCCCUUGCACUUAAGACAUGUCAUCUAAGGGGGCCUUAUCAGUUUCCGAGCUAAAAGAACGGGUCGCUUAUGUGUGCCAUUGGUAACGAACCCAAACCUCUGGAAAUCUCAGAAUUAGCACUACAGAAUGUAAAUAAAGGUGUUCUCAGCAGCACAGCAUGUCGCUACAUUGCCUGAAUGCUAAUCCUAUGAACAUCAACAGUCCUCUUGAGACGGAUUCCGCAGCGUUUUUUCUGCUAUUCUUGACGGCGAUCACCACGAAGGCAUUGCCGUGGUUGUCCAUUGAGUUUGGCAUCACUAGAACACAGCCGACAUCUAAGGCGCAAGGCAAAACAAUCAAGUAUGAUGGAACUAAAAAGCGCUCCAGUCGAUUAGUGACUGGUGCGGUCUAAGAUGGGGCGCCACAUAGGAUUCGCCUAUCCCGUCUUUCUUUCCGCAUUGUUUGAACAGUUCGUGUCCAAAGGAAAAAAGAGGUUCACAGGAGGCUCGAAGUGAUUAAUUUAGCUGCUUCCCUGACGAAGGCUAGCCUUUUGUCAAAACGCAGUUUGCCUGAAGCGACAUUCCGAUUUCUGCAACUGAUAAUGAACAACAGUUGAAACAUAGUCCUAAGGCUCGUUAGGACACUAUCAAAACUAUAUCACUGACAUAUGCUGCGCCGAAGAUUCAAUUUUUUUAGAUCGGCAUUCAGUACUUCAAUCUUUAGAAUAAGAUUGUAAUAAUUAGCCCUAACCAGCUCUAUCAAAAUGCUUGGUCACUUGUCAAUCACCUCAGUAAAAGAUCGACAGUAGCGAGCGACUCAGUGCGCCAAGAGAAAAAAAUUAUUUAGUAGACAAAGCACGUAGCAACAGACGGUGCUCUAGCCUGAGUGACCCACUACAAUUUCCCGCAAACAGCGCUGCAAAUCUAUGUAUAGUAACGAAAAAACACUAAAGGGUACCCAUAACGGGGAUGCAGUAGGUACGAGGUGCUCCGGGGUAUGUGGAAAGGUUCCAGGAAUUUGGAAACGCGGUUGUUUGCUUGAAAUCAGGGGUACAAGCACUACUCGAUGGCAACAAGUGGGCCGCCUCGCACUCACGGGAAGCUGUGCAGGGUGACAUGGGCUGGACUAGUUUUGAAGUGAGGGCAGCUCACAAUAAAAUUGAUUAUGAAGAACGACUGAGAAAUGCGGAAUAAAGUAAAUGGGCUGGGAGAGUGUUCAGGUAUUUGUACAGGAAAAACAUUGAUUCACAGUGGAGCAAAAGAAGUAGGAAGCUUACCAACAAGUAUGCGGCCUGUAGCGCGAGCAACACUGCAACAAAGAACGUCAAGCGGAAAGUUAGAGGGGCUGAAAUAAUCUCAUGGGUGGCGGCAAAGGAAAAGAAACCUGCCAUGAGUAACUACUUAAGAGGAAUAAACGAAAUCACGAAAGAAAGAAUUUAUGAUAACUCAAAGGGAAGCUCCUUACUUUUCGAAGCGGGAUUGGGAUGCCUAAGUAAAACUCUUGCUUGCACUAGUUGCUUCAUGCUUGAAUUAGUAAAGGCAAGGCGCAGAAGAACAGGACUCAAGAAGAACACACAAAAAGAAGAGCAAGGCGCCGGUCCUGUCAUGUGUGUUCUUCUUGAGUCCUGUUCUUCUGCGCCUUGCCUUUACUAAUUCAAGCAUGGGAUGCCUAAUUAGAACACGCACCUAUAAAGCGAGAUAUAAGAAGGAAGAAGAAGCAUGUGCUUGCUGCGGUAAAGCUAGGGAAACAAUGGAGCAUGUUUUAUUAAAAUGUGAAGACAACUGCCCAGUGGUCGAUUUAGGCACCACUGGCCUCCUUGAAACCCUUGGGUUCAGCGAGAGCAGGAGAAAAGUAAACAUGUCUGCAAUAGAGAUUAGUAAGAGGUGAUGUGAAGAUUAGUGGAAGAAAAGUAGGGAAACGACAAAAACGAAGACGUCCUAAAGCAAAGUUCACAAUGGAGGGUCAGAAAAUUUCGGUGUGGGAGUUUAUCGUGGAUUUUUCAUCUUUUUCUUUCUUUUAACCCAGGUAGGAGAUUAGGCAGUAUAAUAGCAAGAGCUUGGUGGUUGAAACCCACCGGUCCCGUUCCAGAGGGGACGCUCAUAACAUCCAUGCAUCCAUACUAUACUAGGCCCCUUGCACGGACCCAACAUAUAUAAGUGACUGCAGAGAACCAUUGUGUUGGUGUUGCGCGUUUGGCAGACCUCACGUGAUCCUCUGUUCGGAGCUUGCCACGACAGCGGGUGCACACCAUAUCGCAUCAUUGCA